UACGUAGGUGGCAAGCGUUGUUCGGAUUUACUGGGCGUAAAGGGCGCGCAGGCGGCCCGUCAAGUCAGAUGUGAAAGCCCCGGGCUCAACCCGGGAACGGCAUUUGAGACUGGCGGGCUAGAGUUCGGGAGAGGAUGGUGGAAUUCCCAGUGUAGAGGUGAAAUUCGUAGAUAUUGGGAAGAACACCGGUGGCGAAGGCGGCCAUCUGGAUCGAGACUGACGCUGAGGCGCGAAAGCGUGGGGAGCAAACAGG
rnacentral:misc_RNA from 1 species